rnacentral:rRNA from 1 species
ACAGGAAGCAGCUUGCUGCUUCGCUGACGAGUGGCGGACGGGUGAGUAAUGUCUGGGAAACUGCCUGAUGGAGGGGGAUAACUACUGGAAACGGUAGCUAAUACCGCAUAACGUCGCAAGACCAAAGAGGGGGACCUUCGGGCCUCUUGCCAUCGGAUGUGCCCAGAUGGGAUUAGCUAGUAGGUGGGGUAACGGCUCACCUAGGCGACGAUCCCUAGCUGGUCUGAGAGGAUGACCAGCCACACUGGAACUGAGACACGGUCCAGACUCCUACGGGAGGCAGCAGUGGGGAAUAUUGCACAAUGGGCGCAAGCCUGAUGCAGCCAUGCCGCGUGUAUGAAGAAGGCCUUCGGGUUGUAAAGUACUUUCAGCGGGGAGGAAGGGAGUAAAGUUAAUACCUUUGCUCAUUGACGUUACCCGCAGAAGAAGCACCGGCUAACUCCGUGCCAGCAGCCGCGGUAAUACGGAGGGUGCAAGCGUUAAUCGGAAUUACUGGGCGUAAAGCGCACGCAGGCGGUUUGUUAAGUCAGAUGUGAAAUCCCCGGGCUCAACCUGGGAACUGCAUCUGAUACUGGCAAGCUUGAGUCUCGUAGAGGGGGGUAGAAUUCCAUGUGUA